rnacentral:rRNA from 1 species
CCUACGGGUGGCAGCAGUCGAGAAUCAUUCACAAUGGGGGAAACCCUGAUGGUGCGACGCCGCGUGGGGGAAUGAAGGUCUUCGGAUUGUAAACCCCUGUCAUGUGGGAGCAAAUUAAAAAGAUAGUACCACACGAGGAAGAGACGGCUAACUCUGUGCCAGCAGCCGCGGUAAUACAGCGGUCUCAAGCGUUGUUCGGAAUCACUGGGCGUAAAGCGUGCGUAGGCUGUUUCGUAAGUCGUGUGUGAAAGGCGCGGGCUCAACCCGCGGACGGCACAUGAUACUGCGAGACUAGAGUAAUGGAGGGAGAACAGGAAUUCGCGGUGUAGCAGUGAAAUGCGUAGAUAUCGAGAGGAACACUCGUGGCGAAGGCGGGUUCCUGGACAUUAACUGACGCUGAGGCACGAAGGACAGGGGAGCGAAAGGGAUUAGAUACCCUGGUAGUC